rnacentral:rRNA from 1 species
AUGGGGAGGGGCAAGAUUGUGAUUAGGAGGAUUGAGAACAUGAGCAGCAGGCAGGCCACCUUCUCCAAGCGGUGUCGUGGCCUGCUGAAGAAAGCACGUGAGCUGGCCAUCCUCUGUGAUGUCCAGGUCAGUGUCAUCGUCUUCUCCUCCACCGGUCGCCUCUACGAAUAUGCUAGCCCCAUCGCCGCCACCACCAUGGGCAUGGCCAUGCCUUCCAUCAUUCAAAACUACCAAUCUGCACAAGAGCACCAUCAGCUGUUGAAUCCAAUUUCACAAGUCAUGGUAUGCGCGCGUGCAUUCCUUGAAGCCUUUUUUACUCUCAACGUUCCAUACAUGAUGUUUUUGACAAGUAGACAUGCACUUUGCAUCAUGCAACUUUAA